rnacentral:lncRNA from 1 species
UUUGUACUUGAGUAUUUAGGAAUAAUUUAACUUAUAAGUUUUUUGUAUUCUAAUGUUACUUCUUGCGCAACGUGUUUUAAUAAUUUUCUAAAAAGUAUAUCAGCGUAAUUUGUUUAAAAUGGAUCAAGUUAGGGUAUUUGGCUGAGCAGUAGUAUGUCCUCUCAAAUGUUGCAACAUAAGAAGGCUUUGACACAGACGUAGAGGUGGGUUUUAUUUGCUUGUUUUGAGGAUGUUACCCCGACGGGAGUUUCUAGAAAUGAGCAUUAAAACAUUCGAAACGUCAAAUACCAGAGUAUUAUCUUUAUAAGGAUCAAUACAAUGUCCACUUCCUGACGAGAAUCUGAUUAUUUUCCGUAAACCUGAUGGCGAAUAUGAACAUUAAAGGGAGUAAACGUAAAGGCAGAGAAAACAAAAUAUCGUUUGAAAACCUUAAGUUAAAGGACGUUAUGUUUGAAGCGUUACAAGACAGGUAUACCGUUAGUGAAAAAGAAUUAUUUAGAGUUGUCGGGAAUAAACUAAAGAAUGCACCAGGAAGAUUGAACCAUUCCAUUGAUAUCUAACAUUUAUAUUAUAUUAUAUGUAUAUAGUUUAUGUUAUAGUAUAUAGUUACUUUUUUUAAAUAAAUAAACAAUAAUAUUAUACAA